GAUGAACGCUAGCUACAGGCUUAACACAUGCAAGUCGAGGGGAAACGAUAUUGGAAGCUUGCUUCCGAUAGGCGUCGACCGGCGCACGGGUGAGUAACGCGUAUCCAACCUGCCCAUCACUUGGGGAUAACCUUGCGAAAGUAAGACUAACACCCAAUGACGUCUCUAGAAGACAUCUGAAAGAGAUUAAAGAUUUAUCGGUGAUGGAUGGGGAUGCGUCUGAUUAGCUUGUUGGUGAGUAACGGCUCACCAAGGCUGCGAUCAGUAGCCGGACUGAGAGGUUGAACGGCCACAUUGGGACUGAGAUACGGCCCAGACUCCUACGGGAGGCAGCAGUGGGGAAUAUUGGGCAAUGGGCGAAAGCCUGACCCAGCAACGCCGCGUGAAGGAAGAAGGCCUUCGGGUUGUAAACGUUCUUUUAAGAGGUACGAAGGACGUGACGGUACCU
rnacentral:rRNA from 1 species